rnacentral:tRNA from 1 species
GCCGUCCAGGUGCGAAGACGGGACCUACUUCGACUCCUCAUCGGGAGGCCGUGGGUUCGAAUCCCGCCGUCGGCA